AUUGAACGCUGGCGGCAGGCUUAACACAUGCAAGUCGAGCGAGCGGCGGACGGGUGAGUAAUGUCUGGGAAACUGCCUGAUGGAGGGGGAUAACUACUGGAAACGGUAGCUAAUACCGCAUACCAUCAGAUGUGCCCAGAUGGGAUUAGCUAGUGGGUGGGGUAAUGGCUCACCUAGGCGACGAUCCCUAGCUGGUCUGAGAGGAGGACCAGCCAAACUGGAACGGAGACACGGCCCAGACUCCAACGGGAGGCAGAAGUGGGGAAUAUUGGACAAUGGGCGCAAGCCUGAUGAGGCCAGGCCGGGGGUGUGAAGAAGGCCUUCGGGUUGUAAAGCACUUUCAGCGAGGAGGCGUUACCCGCAGAAGAAGCACCGGCUAACUCCGUGCCAGCAGCCGCGGUAAUUC
rnacentral:rRNA from 1 species